rnacentral:rRNA from 1 species
GACGGAAGGUGCAAGCGUUGCUCGGAAUCACUGGGCGUAAAGGGUGCGUAGGCGGCUUGGUAAGUUGGGUGUGAAAGCCCCGGGCUCAGCCCGGGAAGGGCACUCGAAACUGCCGAGCUGGAGUGCCGGAGGGGAGAGUGGAAUUCCUGGUGUAGCGGUGAAAUGCGUAGAUAUCAGGAGGAAUACCGGUGGCGAAAGCGACUCUCUGGACGGCAACUGACGCUGAGGCACGAAAGCGUGGGGAGCAAACAG